AGUGAACGCUGGCGGUAGGCCUAACACAUGCAAGUCGAACGGCAGCACAGUAAGAGCUUGCUCUUACGGGUGGCGAGUGGCGGACGGGUGAGGAAUACAUCGGAAUCUACUUUUUCGUGGGGGAUAACGUAGGGACACUUACGCUAAUACCGCAUACGUCCUACGGGUGAAAGCAGGGGAUCUUCGGACCUUGCGCGAUUGAAUGAGCCGGUGUCGGAUUAGCUAGUUGGCGGGGUAAAGGCCCACCAAGGCGACGAUCCGUAGCUGGUCUGAGAGGAUGAUCAGCCACACUGGAACUGAGACACGGUCCAGACUCCUACGGGAGGCAGCAGUGGGGAAUAUUGGGCAAUGGGCGCAAGCCUGAUCCAGCCAUACCGCGUGGGUGAAGAAGGCCUUCGGGUUGUAAAGCCCUUUUGUUGGGAAAGAAAAGCAGCAGGUUAAUACCCCGCUGUUCUGACGGUACCCAAAGAAUAAGCACCGGCUAACUUCGUG
rnacentral:rRNA from 1 species